GUGCCAGCAGCCGCGGUAACACGUAGGGGGCGAGCGUUGUCCGGAUUUAUUGGGCGUAAAGAGCUCGUAGGUGGUUCGGUAAGUCGGGUGUGAAAACUCUGGGCUCAACUCAGAGACGCCACCUGAUACUGCCGUGACUUGAGUCUGGUAGGGGAGUGUGGAAUUUCCGGUGUAGCGGUGAAAUGCGCAGAUAUCGGAAGGAACACCAGUGGCGAAGGCGGCACUCUGGGCCAGUACUGACACUGAGGAGCGAAAGCGUGGGUAGCGAACAGGAUUAGAUACCCCCGUAGUCC
rnacentral:rRNA from 1 species